CAAAGAUUUAAGUUGUUUACUGUCUGGUAGCCUCAUGUAACUGACCCCACCCCGAAAAUCCUCCUUUGUUUUUAGCUAUAGAUAAUAUUUAAGCUGUGGCUUCUGCCAUGUACUUAAUCCUGUUUGAUUCUUAUCUAAAAGUUAUAGGACCACCCAAUAACGAGACCCUACCAGCACUGAUACCAUUUUAACAACUUUUUUUACAUAUUCUUUCCUUUGUCUUGUAAAGAGAUAACUCACAUACCUAUGCCUUAAAUUUAGCCUUACUCUCCACCCAUGUUUGCAGCAGCAGCUCUGACUGCCCAUGGGUCCUGUCCCCAUGCUAUUCCACACUAUUCUCUAAAUAAAAGAGCACUACUGCCAGACCUUGAGACCCCAAGAAAUCUUUCUUUCGACUCCUCGGCUCACCGGCCCCGCAUCAGGGGGAGGCGACCUCAGGAUUCGAAUCACGUCCUCAAGUCUCUCGCCCUGAAAUUUCCAAAUGUUUGGUGUAGUUUGAUGUCAUUCUCUCUUUGUGCAGACAAGUCUCGUCCCAAUGUCUCCAGAUGGUUGGCCCCACAGAGGAAAAGGCAGCUUCUCUCUCCCACCAUCCACACGCUUUAGAUUUAUGGCAAAAACGGGCAAUUACUGCUCCUGCCCAGAGAGGAAAAGCCGCACCUAAAUCGUUGAGGGUUGAGUAGUAGGUGUGAGCGAGCAGCGUACCAGACCUAGGAGGCUUGUCGAACCAAUAAGCAGAGGAAGCGACCAAAGUAUCACGGACCAGGUCAUCCUUUAGUAUUGUGAGUGCACAUUUCUUGUUUCAGUGUACGUCGAUUUAAUCAUCCUUGGAUAGAAAUUAAACAGUUGUUGACUAGUAACCAGAAAUGCGAAGAAGAAGACAGUAAUUCAAAUACUGUAGACAGCUGCGGGGAAAGCGGCAAGGACUGUAAGUGACAGGCUCCGGCAUCGGUCGGAGACACGUUAGUGCUUUCAGGGGUUAAGUCUUCGGAACGAAGCCUGUAAGGACAGGUAACCCCGUGAGCGCGAGGCCUCCAACAAUAACGAUUUAAACGCUCCAAUCAGAAGACAGACGUUGGCAGAAUGGGGAAAGUGAUUCAACGGUAUACUGCUCCCCAGAGCCCCAGUUUAGGAGUGAGGAGAG
rnacentral:lncRNA from 1 species